rnacentral:SRP_RNA from 1 species
GCUGGGCGUGAUGGCAUGCGCCUGUGAUCCCAGCUACUGGGGAGGCUGAGGCAGGGGAAUCGCUUGAACCUGGGAGGCAGAGGUUGCAGUGAGCCAAGAUCGUGCCACUGCACUCCAGCCUAGGUGACAGAGCGAGACUCUGUCUCAA